rnacentral:lncRNA from 1 species
AUAGUAUUGUUGGUCGAUAUGUAUUAUUAAUAUUACAAGUUGUUAUUGUUUAGCUCAAAUUCAUGUGUAGGUAUGUUGUAGACAUAUAAACUGAAUUGGGGGCAUGUUAUUAGUUGUUAUUAAUUAUACAUAUUGGACUUGGAUAAAACAUAGGAGAAAAUAGCGUUCGGGACCUGGCAUAUGUUAAACUACCUGAUUUAGCCCUAGGGGCUGUUGUAUUUUUAUACUGUUGCAGUAUCCUCAUAGUGAGUAUCCAAGAUAGUUCAAAUUUCAGUUACGCUCGUGCUGGGAUGCCGAGCCGAUUUUUACAGUAGUGUUUACAGUAUUCCGGAUUAGUGGGUGCCGUAGUGGUUGACGGCGGAACCGGAAUUGAUCGUUCCGAUAUCAGAUUGUGCCAAGGGCACGUGACUAGUGGUUGGUAGUACUGUUAGACCUGCUUUCUUGACUUUAGCCUGUGAGAGCCUGAUUGAGCUCGACAGAGAUACACUUGCAUACUCGGUUGGGUCGCGCCCACGAGUGCCGCUUCGGAGUCUGGCUUUGUGCUUUCGCAUUGAUGUCGCUGAUUAGUUGCUAUCCACGGACUAUUUAGCGUGGAGGUAGCGGGGCUUAGACAGGCGGGACGGAUACGUACACAGUCCCUAAUGAGAUUGGGUCAGAAAUGAUAGUAGACACAGUUGGAUAGUGUAGUGGCAUGUAGCCGUGGAUUUCUUUCCGGGUUGACCUUUUAGCCUUGUUUCCUACUGUAGUCUUAGUGGGUGAGCUGAUGAUUUUGAGGGCGGUACCGACUGAGGACUAUUUAUUUUAUAGUAGUUCUCACGCCCAGUUGUUACCCUGUGUUUUGCAGAGCCUGCUGUUCCGACUGCUGGGUCUUCAGAGGCUGAUCGAGGCAAGGGCGUCGCGAGCUAGGGCCCUACCCGACGAAUCGCCGUGCUAGAGGAUCACCAGCUGCAGGUAGUAGUGUUUUUUUAUUUUGAGCUUAUAUAUUUACUAAUACUAGAACUCGCUGGAGCGAGUGUUUUUGUACUUGUUAGUUUGUAUGUAUAUGAGAUUUGUUCAUUCUACCUGGUUAGUUCUUUUCAGCUCUACACUACUGUUUGUAGUACUGUAUAUUUUACAGAUACAACUAUCGUUUCAUAUACAAGAAAUUUUUUUUUGUAUACGGUGGAUUUGUCAGCGUGCCCGGGGAAUGUGUACUCCGGGGCGUGACAGAUUAAGUUGAUAUCAGAGCUUAGCAUUGGGUCGUUGGGACCUAGAAAACCUAAGUUUGACAAACCUUAGGAAGACAAGGCGCGAGAGGCGCGAUUUACUGCGAAAGUCAAUGAUUAAUUAUUGUAACUCAUCCUGAGGGGAGUGAGUGACUGGAGGAGUGCCUGUUUUGGCCUGCAAAAUUAUGUUGGCUGCAGACGACAUAAUUUCGAGGAAUGAUAGGUGCCGCCUUCUGAACUUUCGUUGAUUGGGUUGAGAGUGCUUGUGUUUAUCUGACCCUGCUUUUCUUUUUGCAGCUAUGUGUCGUCAUCGAGGUCGACCGUCGACACGGGACCAGGCACAGUUGGCACAGGAUCGUGUGGGAUCUUCUGAGAUGCCUGAGCAGGCGGAGCCGAGUGGCCGGCAGGAGCAGAGUGUUCGACCGGAGGCGAGUGUAUCCCCGGACUUGACUGCACAGUUAGCCACCCUGACAGAGGUGACGAGGUGGCAGGGGGAGUUGUUGGAGAGGUUGUGUGAGAGGAUAGCCCACCACACAGUACAGUACCAGGAGUACCAGAGCAGACGGUUCCACCUCCCACGACUCCAACCGCAGCACCAGCCGCAGCUGUACCCCCACCAGCGGCAGUUCCAGUAGUGCCAGUUGCACCUCUUAGAGGACCGGUCCAGCUGACCGUGGCUGAGCAGGAGCGGAUGACAGAGGGGCUUGCUCGUUUUCGCCGUUUCGAUCCGCCGACCUUUGAUGGCUGAUGUUCAGAGGAGUGGGUCGUCGAAGGCUGGGUUAGUGCGAUGGAGAAGCUGUUUGAGGAUUUAUAUGUUCCGGAGAGAGAGCAGGUAUCUUAUGGAGUUCACUGUUUGGCUGGCGACGCUCACGCCUGGUAGAAGAGGGUGAGGCGAGACUACGGAUUGGUAGCUUUGCAGAUGAGAUGGGACGAGUUCUGUGGAAUGCUGUAUGGGAUGUAUUUUUCCAACGGUGUGAAACAGAAGCUCGAGGAGGAUUUGAAGAGGAUCCAGCAGGGGGAUCGGUCGGUACAGGAGUACAUUCGGGAGUUCACUCGACUCCUGAACUGUGUGCCUUUUGUGGCUAGAGACGAGGCACACAGGGUGUACCUCUUUGAGCAGGGUUUGCGACCGGAGAUUGUCAGGCUCGUGCAGGCGCAGAGGUUGAGGACCCUCGAUGCGUCCAUGGAGCAGGCACUUUGGGUUGAGCGGGGUGAUGUAUCCAUUCGGGAGAGGACUCAGGCAGCGGGGCAGAGUCAGGAGAGGAAGCGUCCAGCUCCAGACGAUGAUGGACAGUCGAGCAGCCGGCGUCCACCGAGACCUCCACGAUCGCGUUCUCAGGGUCGUGGGUCCUCGGGCGUUAGCGUUCUGGGGGAUCCCGGCAGCAGAGGCAAUCACAGGGGUUACCACCGUGUGUGAUUUAUGGGGGACCACACUGGGCCCGGUAGUGCGAGCAGCGUGAGGGUCGGUGUUUUGGAUGUGGACAGCCAGGGCACAUGAGGUCAGCUUGUCCCCGAGCAGUAUCACCAGUGCCAUCGACCGCUUCAGCAUCACAGCACCUCAACAGUCUUAUGGAGCACCGCAGAGCUACCGCCAGGAGGACAGGUCAUCUGCGCCUCGUCAGGGUGAGCGGCGACAGCAGGCUCCGAGUGGUAGGGUCUAUGCAACCCACGUGGAGGACUUUACCGCGGCCGAUUGAGUGGUGGCAGGUAUCACUUUGAUUUCUGGCAUUAGAGUUCGCACUCUCUUUGAUACCGGUGCAUCUCAUUCAUUUGUUAGCCGAGCAUUUACAUUAUUGCAUGGUCUAGAGUUAGGAGCCUUGUCUCAUGCACGAGAGGUGCAGAUCCCAGACCAUGUUUUACAGGUUGCAGAGUGUUGUUGGUCGUGUCCGGUGCAGUUGGAUUUGUGGAUCAUGCCCGCAGACUUGUUGGUUUUAGGGCAGCUACAGGACUUCGACGUUGUGCUCGGUAUGGAUUGGUUGGCCCGGUACUUUGCUACAAUUGAUUGUGGAGCGAGGACAGUGACGUUCCAUGAGCCAGGCCAGGAGGAGUUUACUUUUAGGGGCUGCAGGAGCACGUUGUUUGCUACUUGGAUUUCUUCGGCGAGGGCUCGACAGCUGAUGAGCAGAGGAUGCGUCGCGUUUCUGGCGACGAUAGUAGAGGUACCUACGGUAGCGCCGGAACUCGAGGAUAUCCCAGUAGUCCGCGAGUUUCCGGAUGUGUUUUUUCCUGAGUUCACGACGAUGCCGCCAGAGAGAGAGAUUGAGUUCGUGGUUGAUGUAAUUCCUGGAGCUGCACCAAUCUCAAAGGUACCUUACCGGAUGGCACCGGCAGAGCUGAGAGAGUUAAAGGCACAGCUGCAGGAUCUGAUGGAUAAGGGGUAUGUGAGACCCAGUGUGUCGCCUUGGGGAGCGCCGGUGUUAUUUGUAAAGAAGAAUGAUGGUUCGCUCAUGUUAUGUGUGGAUUACCGGGAGCUGAAUAAAGUGACCAUCAAGAACAAGUAUGCACUACCGCGCAUUGAUGAUUUGUUUGAUCAGUUGCAGGGAUCCUUUGUCUUCUCGAAGAUUGAUCUUCAGUCCGGUUACCACCAGUUGAGGGUGAGAGCCGAGGAUGUUUCCAAGACAGCUUUUCGGACUCGGUACGGGCAUUAUGAGUUCACCGUGAUGCCUUUCGGAUUGACGAAUGCCCUUGCCGCAUUCAUGGAUUUGAUGAACAGAGUGUUCAAGCCGUUCUUGGAUAGAUUUGUGGUAGUCUUCAUCGAUGAUAUUCUGAUUUACUCCCGUAGUGAUGCUGAGCAUGAGGAGCACUUGAGGAUUGUGCUACAGUUCCUGCGAGAGAAGAAGCUGUAUGCCAAGUUAAAGAAGUGCGAGUUUUGAUUGUGGAAAGUAGCUUUCUUGGGCCAAGUGAUUUCUGCAGAGGGAGUGGUAGUAGAUCCGAAGAAGAUUGAUGCUAUUCGGGAUUGGCCCAGACCGACGACGGUGACUGAGUUGCGGAGUUUUCUGGGACUAGCAGGAUAUUACCGUCGGUUUGUAGAGGGCUUUGCGAAGCUUUCCACACCCCUUACCAGGUUGACACGGAAGGGGAUUCGGUUUGUUUGGAGUGAGGACUGCAAGAGUAGCUUCGACGAGUUGAGACAGAGAUUGAUGACAGCUCCUAUCCUUGCCUUUCCUGUGAUGGGGAAAGGAUUUGUGAUUUAUAGUGAUGCAUCGCACAACGGACUGGGUUGUGUGCUGAUGCAGCAUGGUAGGGUGAUUGCUUAUGCUUCACGGCAGUUAAAGGAUUAUGAGAAGAAUUACCCUACGUAUGAUUUGGAGCUUGCCGCGGUAGUCUUUGCUUUGAAGUUGUGGCGGCAUUAUUUGUACGGCGAGGACUGCGAGGUUUUCACUGAUCAUAAAAGUCUCAAGUAUCUGUUCACUCAAAAGGAAUUGAAUCUGAGGCAGCGCCGGUGGCUAGACCUACUGAAGGACUAUGACAUUAGUAUUUAGUAUCAUCCCGGUAGGGCGAAUGUAGUGGCAGAUGCGUUGAGCAGAAGGGCAGCGCAGAGCUUGAGCUUGUUGAUCACUCAGUAGAGACCGCUACUUGAGGAGCUACAGCGGCUGAGGCUUGAGGUGGUGUCCCCUGGGUCUGCUGCAAGACUGAUGUCUCUGGUCUUGCAGCCCAAUCUGUUGGAUAGGAUCCGGGAGAAACAGAGUGGAGAUCCGCAUUUGUUGAGGAUUCGAGAGCAGUUAGUUAGGGGACAGGCCGAGGGUUUUGCUUUGGACAGUUUGGGAGUACUGCGGUACAGGGACCGACUGUGUGUGCCUGUGGAUUUAGAGAUCCGAGAGGACAUCUUGAGGGAGGCUCAUUGUUCGCUUUAUACGGUUUACCCUGGGGGAACCAAGAUGUAUAAGGACUUGAAGGCACAGUUUUGGUGGAAUGGGAUGAAGAGGGACAUUGGCAGAUUUGUAGCUCAGUGUCUGACUUGCCAACAGGUGAAGGCCGAGCAUCAGGUACCUGCUGGCAAGCUUCAGAGUCUGUCAGUGCCAGAGUGGAAGUGGGAACAAAUCACAAUGGAUUUUGUUGUGGGGUUGCCUAGAGCACAGAGUGGCUUCGAUGCGAUUUGGGUGAUAGUGAAUAGACUGACCAAGUCUGCUCACUUCCUACCAGUUCAGACCACCUGGUCUAGAGAGAGACUCGCGCAGCUUUACUUGGAUGAGAUUGUCAGGCUACAUGGUGUGAGAGUAUCGAUCGUAUCAGACCGAGACUCGAGAUUUGUGUCGCAUUUCUGGAGGAGUUUACAGACAGCUUUGGGGACUCAGUUACAUUUCAGCACAGCAUUUCACCCACAGACGGAUGGUCAGUCGGAGCGGACCAUUCAGACUCUAGAGGACAUGCUGAGAACGUGUGUCCUGGACUUCGGAGGAGGGUGGUAUCGACACUUGAGACUGGCAGAGUUUGCGUACAACAACAGCUAUCAAACGAGCAUUCAGAUAGCUCCGUCUGAGGCGUUGUAUGGACGCAGGUGUCGAUCCCUGUUGUUUUGGAGUGAUGUGGGUGAGAGAAAGACACUUGGGCUUGAGAUUUUACUAGAGGCUGAGGAAAAGGUGAGAGUUGUUCGACGACACCUUUUGACAGCCCAGAGCCACCAGAGAAGCUACGCCGAUACCAGGAGAUGGGACUUGGAGUUCCAGGUUGGAGAUCAUGUAUUUCUUAAGGUCUCGCCGUUCAGAGGGAUUCGCCGAUUUGGAGUUCGUGGAAAGCUGAGUCCACGUUUCGUUGGCCCUUUUGAGGUAUUGGAGCGAGUUGGACCAGUUGCUUAUCGGAUUGCUCUACCACCCCGACUUGGUGGUAUCCAUGAUGUGUUCCACGUCUCGGCGCUGAGGAGAUAUGUUUUCGAUCCUUCUCACGUGAUUGACUUCACUCCACUAGAGAUUGGCGAGGAUCUGAGAUACGAGGAGCGACCGGUGCGGAUUCUUGCUCGUGGGACGAAAGAAUUACGCAACCGGAUCAUCCCGUAUGUAAAGGUACAGUGGAGUAAUCAUGAGGAGAGGGAGGCGACUUGGGAGCCCGAGAUGAUGAUGAGGGAGUCCUAUCCCUAUCUAUUUGAUGCCCUGAGCUGAGGUAUGUUUUAGUUUCGAGGACGAAACUUUUUGUAGUGAGGGAGGAUGUGAGAUACUGAACCUUAGCAAAUUAGCAAGGUUACAGUAUAAGUUAUGCUUGAUUGAGCUCGAGACGUUUUGCGCAAAAUAGACGUGAAAAACGGACUUUGAAACUCAAGUUUCAAAGUAGAGGACUAAAGUUGAAUAUUGUAGUAGGUCAGGGGCUUUUGGAUAAUUGUCGCCUUUCAACCUUAUCCCACCGCCUUAAUUAGGAUAAGGUGGUAGGUGCUAAUUAAGGUUGCUUUCCUCUCUCUCUCUCUCUCUCUCUCUCUCUCUCUCUCUCUCUCUCUCUCUCUCUUUAUGUUAGCUUGUGGGCACGGUGGAGAGCUCGAGCUCGGGAGGUUUUCGUCAUCGACGUCGCGCUCCGGUGCCGUUCGAGCGUGCGUUCGUCGUAGUAGCAUUGUGAGGAGGCCGGGCGAGGGUGUGAUUCCGUCGUUCUCGACGUCACGCCAGGUUGGAUUUAGCUACCGAGGUGGGUUUAUCAUCGGAAUCCUACUCCUAUAGUAUCGUUGGUCGAUAUGUAUCAUUAAUAUUACAAGUUAUUAUUGUUUAGCUCAAAUUCAUGAGUAGGUAUGUUGUAGACAUAUAAACUGAAUUGGGGGCAUGUUAUUAGUUGUUAUUAAUUAUACAUGUUGGACUUGGAUAAAACAUAGGAGAAAACUAGCGUUCGGGACCUGGCAUUUGUUAAACUACCUGAUUUAGCUCCAUGGGCCGUUGUAUUUUUAUACUGUUGCAGUAUCCUCAUAGUGAGUAUCCCAGGUAGUUCAGAUUUCAGUUACGCUUGUGCUGGAAUGCCGAGCCGAUUUUUACAGUAGUGUUUACAGUAUUCCGAAUUAUUGGGUGCCGUAGUGGUUGACGGCGGACCCGGAAUUGAUCGUUCCUAUAUCAGAUUGUGCCGAGGACACGUGACUAGUGGUUGGUAGUACUGUUAGACCUGCUUUCUUGACUUUAGCCUGUGAGAGCCUGUUUGAGCUCGACAGAGAUACGCUUGCAUACUCGGUUGGGUCGCGCCCACGAGUGCCGCUCCGGAGUCUGGCUUUGUGCUUUCGCGUUGAUGUCGCUGAUUAGUUGCUAUCCACGGACUGUUUAGCGUGGAGGUAGCGCGGCUUAGACAGGCGGGACGAGUGCGUACACAGUCCCUAAUGAGAUUGGGUCAGAAGUGAUAGUAGACACAGUUGGAUAGUGUAGUGGCAUGUAGCUAUGGAUUUCUUUUCGGGUUUACCUUUUAGCCUUGUUUCCUACUGUAGUCUUAGUGGGUGAGCCGAUGAUUUUGAGGGCGGUACCCACUGAGGACUACUUGUUUUACAGUAGUUCUCACGCCCAGUUGUUACCCAGUGUUUUACAGAGCCUGCUGUUCCGGC